UACACGCUCCUUAGAUCCACCUCUUGAGGGCGCUCCUGCACUGCUGCAGUCUGGAGGGCCCUCAGCAACUUUACCGGUUGUACAGUGAGAGGUGCUUGAGUCAUUGGCGUGUGAGAGCAGUACACCUGCCCCCUGGCCCCCCGCUGCACUGGCCCCUCGCUGGCUCCGCCUGCAGGAAGCUCCCAGUGCAGCCAGGCCCGUGGGCGGACACU